rnacentral:rRNA from 1 species
UACGUAGGGUGCAAGCGUUAAUCGGAAUUACUGGGCGUAAAGCGUGCGCAGGCGGUUAUGCAAGACAGAGGUGAAAUCCCCGGGCUCAACCUGGGAACUGCCUUUGUGACUGCAUGGCUAGAGUACGGUAGAGGGGGAUGGAAUUCCGCGUGUAGCAGUGAAAUGCGUAGAUAUGCGGAGGAACACCGAUGGCGAAGGCAAUCCCCUGGGCCUGCACUGACGCUCAUGCACGAAAGCGUGGGGAGCAAACAGG